rnacentral:rRNA from 1 species
AUUGAACGCUGGCGGCAGGCCUAACACAUGCAAGUCGAGCGAGCGGCGGACGGGUGAGUAAUGUAUGGGGACUGCCCGAUAGAGGGGGAUAACUACUGGAAACGGUGGCUAAUACCGCAUACUAUCCGAUAACCCAUAUGGGAUUAGCUAGUAGGUGGGGUAAAGGCUCACCUAGGCGACGAUCCCUAGCUGGUCUGAGAGGAGGAUCAGCCACACUGGGACUGAGACACGGCCCAGACUCCGACGGAGGCAGCAGUGGGGAAUAUUGCGCAAUGGGCGAAAGCCUGAUGGAGCAAUGCCGCGUGUAUGAAGAAGGCCUUAGGGUUGUAAAGUACUGUCAGUGGGGAGGCGUUACCCGCAGAAGAAGCACCGGCUAACUCCGUGCCAGCAGCCGCGGUAAUUC